GCUCUAGUAGCUUAGCCCUAAAGCACCGGUCUUGUAAUCCGGAGAUCGAAGGUUAAAAUCCUUCCUGGUGCC
rnacentral:tRNA from 1 species